UACGUAGGGUGCAGGCGUUAAUCGGAAUUACUGGGCGUAAAGCGUGCGCAGGCGGUUUGCUAAGACAGGUGGGAAAUCCCCGGGCUUAACCUGGGAACUGCGCUUGUUACUGGCAAGCUGGAGUGUGGCAGAGGGGGGUGGAAUUCCACGUGUAGCAGUGAAAUGCGUAGAGAUGUGGAGGAACACCGAUGGCGAAGGCAGCCCCCUGGGCUAACACUGACGCUCAUGCACGAAAGCGUGGGGAGCAAACGGG
rnacentral:rRNA from 1 species